rnacentral:rRNA from 1 species
AACGAACGCUGGCGGCAUGCCUAAUACAUGCAAGUCGAACGAGAUUAAGGGGCUUGCUCCUUAUGAAAGUGGCGCACGGGUGCGUAACGCGUAUGCAACCUACCUCAAUCAGGGGGAUAGCCCGAAGAAAUUCGGAUUAACACCGCAUAAAAACACAGUACAGCAUUGUACAACGUUCAAAUAUUUAUAGGAUUGAGAUG